rnacentral:rRNA from 1 species
GGAUGUGGGGUUGCUUAGACAACCAGGAUGUUGGCUUAGAAGCAGCCACCAUUGAAAGAGUGCGUAAUAGCUCACUGGUCGAGUGACCCCGCGCCGAAAAUGUACCGGGGCUAAACAUAUUACCGAAACUGUGGAUGAACCUCAUUAGAGGUUCGUGGUAGGAGAGCGUUCUAAGGGCGGUGAAGUCAGACCGGAAGGACUGGUGGAGCGCUUAGAAGUGAGAAUGCCGGUAUGAGUAGCGAAAGAAGGGUGAGAAUCCCUUCCACCGAAUAUCUAAGGUUUCCUGAGGAAGGCUCGUCCGCUCAGGGUUAGUCGGGACCUAAGCCGAGGCCGAUAGGCGUAGGCGAUGGACAACAGGUAGAGAUUCCUGUACCAGUGCUAAUUGUUUAACCGAUGGGGUGACACAGAAGGAUAGGGAAUCGCACGAAUGGAAAUGUGCGUCCAAGCAGUGAGUGUGAGAAGUAGGCAAAUCCGCUUCUCGCGAAGCAUGAGCUGUGAUGGGGAAGGAAAUUAAGUACGGAAGUUCCUGAUUUCACGCUGUCAAGAAAAGCCUCUAGGAAGAGUAGUACUGCCCGUACCGCAAACCGACACAGGUAGAUGAGGAGAGAAUCCUAAGGUGAGCGAGAGAACUCUCGUUAAGGAACUCGGCAAAAUGACCCCGUAACUUCGGGAGAAGGGGUGCUCUAUUAGGGUGCAAGCCCGAGAGAGCCGCAGUGAAUAGGCCCAGGCGACUGUUUAGCAAAAACACAGGUCUCUGCAAAACCGUAAGGUGACGUAUAGGGGCUGACGCCUGCCCGGUGCUGGAAGGUUAAGAGGAGUGCUUAGCUUCGGCGAAGGUACGAAUUGAAGCCCCAGUAAACGGCGGCCGUAACUAUAACGGUCCUAAGGUAGCGAAAUUCCUUGUCGGGUAAGUUCCGACCCGCACGAAAGGCGCAACGAUCUGGGCACUGUCUCAACGAGAGACUCGGUGAAAUUAUAGUACCUGUGAAGAUGCAGGUUACCCGCGACAGGACGGAAAGACCCCGUGGAGCUUUACUGCAACCUGAUAUGGAAUGUUUGUACCGCUUGUACAGGAUAGGUAGGAGCCGAAGAGACGUGUGCGCUAGCAUACGAGGAGGCAAUGGUGGGAUACUACCCUGGCUGUAUGACCAUUCUAACCCGCCACGCUUAGCGCGUGGGGAGACAGUGUCAGGUGGGCAGUUUGACUGGGGCGGUCGCCUCCUAAAGAGUAACGGAGGCGCCCAAAGGUUCCCUCAGAAUGGAUGGAAAUCAUUCGCAGAGUGUAAAGGCACAAGGGAGCUUGACUGCGAGACUGACAAGUCGAGCAGGGACGAAAGUCGGGCUUAGUGAUCCGGUGGUUCCGCAUGGAAGGGCCAUCGCUCAACGGAUAAAAGCUACCCCGGGGAUAACAGGCUUAUCUCCCCCAAGAGUCCACAUCGACGGGGAGGUUUGGCACCUCGAUGUCGGCUCGUCGCAUCCUGGGGCUGUAGUCGGUCCCAAGGGUUGGGCUGUUCGCCCAUUAAAGCGGCACGCGAGCUGGGUUCAGAACGUCGUGAGACAGUUCGGUCCCUAUCCGUCGCGGGCGCAGGAAAUUUGAGAGGAGCUGUCCUUAGUACGAGAGGACCGGGAUGGACACACCGCUGGUGUACCAGUUGUUCCGCCAGGAGCAUCGCUGGGUAGCUAUGUGUGGCAGGGAUAAACGCUGAAAGCAUCUAAGCGUGAAGCCCCCCUCAAGAUGAGAUUUCCCAUUUCUUCGGAAAGUAAGAUCCCUGAAAGAUGAUCAGGUAGAUAGGUUUGGAGUGGAAGUGUAGCGAUACAUGGAGCGGACAAAUACUAAUC